UACGUAGGGGGCGAGCGUUGUCCGGAAUUACUGGGCGUAAAGCGCAUGUAGGCGGGAAGGCACGUCGGACGUGAAAGGCUGGGGCUCAACUCCAGCACGCCGUUCGAAACGGCCUUUCUUGAGGGUCGAAGAGGAGAGUGGAAUUCCCGGUGUAGCGGUGAAAUGCGUAGAGAUCGGGAGGAACACCCGUGGCGAAGGCGGCUCUCUGGUCGGCCACUGACGCUGAGAUGCGAAAGCGUGGGGAGCGAACGGG
rnacentral:rRNA from 1 species